UGGGGUAUAGCUUGGUGAUAGAGCACUUGCUAUCAUGCAUGAGGCCCUGGGUUCAGUUCCCAGCACUGUAA
rnacentral:tRNA from 1 species